CGCUGGCGGCGUGCCUAACACAUGCAAGUCGAACGGAGAUAAGCGCUGAAUUGAAGGAAGCUUGCUUUUGGAUUUUCUUGCUUAUCUUAGUGGCGGACGGGCGAGUAACGCGUGAGCAACCUGCCCCUCAGUGGGGAACAACAGUUGGAAACGACUGCUAAUACCGCAUAAUGUGCCGUCGGGGCAUCCCGGUGGCACCAAAGGAGCAAUUCGCUGAGGGAUGGGCUCGCGUCCGAUUAGAUAGUUGGUGGGGUAACGGCCUACCAAGUCGACGAUCGGUAGCCGAACUGAGAGGUUGAUCGGCCGCAUUGGGACUGAGACACGGCCCAGACUCCUACGGGAGGCAGCAGUGGGGGAUAUUGCACAAUGGAGGAAACUCUGAUGCAGCAACGCCGCGUGAGGGAAGACGGUCUUCGGAUUGUAAACCUAAGUUAUCAGGGACGAAGAAAGUGACGGUACCUGAAGAGAAAGCUCCGGCUAACUACGUGCCAGCAGCCGCGGUAAUACGUAGGGAGCGAGCGUUGUCCGGAUUUACUGGGUGUAAAGGGUGCGUAGGCGGGUCAGCAAGUCAGGCGUGAAAUCCCACGGCUCAACUGUGGGGCUGCGCUUGAAACUGUGGAUCUUGAGUGAAGUAGAGGCAAGCGGAAUUCCUAGUGUAGCGGUGAAAUGCGUAGAUAUUAGGAGGAACACCAGUGGCGAAGGCGGCUUGCUGGGCUUUAACUGACGCUGAGGCACGAAAGCAUGGGGAGCAAACAGGAUUAGAUACCCUGGUAGUCCAUGCCGUAAACGAUGAUUGCUAGGUGUGGGGGGUCGACUCCCUCCGUGCCGGAGUAAACGCAAUAAGCAAUCCACCUGGGGAGUACGACCGCAAGGUUGAAACUCAAAG
rnacentral:rRNA from 1 species